AUUGAACGCUGGCGGCAUGCCUUACACAUGCAAGUCGAACGGCAGCACGGGUGCUUGCGCCUGGUGGCUAGUGGCGAACGGGUGAGUAAUACAUCGGAACAGGUCCUGUAGCGGGGGAGAGCCCGGCGAAAGCCUGAUUAAUACCGCAUACGAACUACGGACGAAAGCGUGGGACCUCCGGGCCUCGCGCUAUAGGGUUGGCCGAUGGCUGAUUAGCUAGUUGGUGGGGUAUAGGCCUAGCAAGGCGACGAUCAGUAGCGGGUCGGAGAGGAAGACCAGCUACACUGGCACUGAGACACGGCACAGACUCUGACGGGAGGAAGCAGUGGGGACUCUUGGACAAUGGAGGAAAGCCUGAUCCAGCAAUGCCGCGUGUGUGAAGAAGGCGUUAGGCUUCUAAAGCAAUUUUGUCCGGAGAGAAAUCCUUCGCCCUAACCCGGUAGGGGGAUGACGGUACCGGAAGAAUAAGCACCGGCUAACUCCGUG
rnacentral:rRNA from 1 species